CUGGCGGUGAGCAGCUCCCUGAACGCUUUCCGUGCCUGCAAACGCUUCUCGCCCGCGCUCACCAUCGCCGAGCUCAAGUGCAAACUGGAGCUGGUUGUGGGCUCCCCAGCCUCGUGCAUGCAGCUGGAGCUGUUCGGGGCCCAGGACGAGCCCCUGGGGCCGCUGGACUGCGACGAGGCCCUGCUGGGCUCCUUCCCCAUCAGCGACGGCUGCAGGAUCCACGUGACCGACCGCAGCGGGGCCCGUGCGGGGCAGUUUGAGGACCUGAGCCAGGUGGCCAAAUACGAGAUGGCCGAGAGUGACUACGACAAGA